rnacentral:rRNA from 1 species
AUACGGAGGGUGCGAGCGUUAAUCGGAAUUACUGGGCGUAAAGCGCGCGUAGGCGGUUUGAUAAGCUGGAUGUGAAAGCCCCGGGCUCAACCUGGGAACUGCAUCCAGAACUGUCUGACUAGAAUACAAUAGAGGUGAGUGGAAUUUCCUGUGUAGCGGUGAAAUGCGUAGAUAUAGGAAGGAACAUCAGUGGCGAAGGCGACUCACUGGAUUGAUAUUGACGCUAAGGUGCGAAAGCGUGGGGAGCGAACAGGAUUAGAUACCCUGGUAGUCCACGCCGUAAACGAUGGACACUAGUUGUUGGAAUUAUUCAGUGACUAAGCGAAAGUGAUAAGUGUCCCACCUGGGGAGUACGAUCGCAAGAUUGAAACUCAAAGGAAUUGACGGGGGCCCGCACAAGCGGUGGAGCAUGUGGUUUAAUUCGAUGAUACGCGAGGAACCUUACCAGGGCUUAAAUGUAGGAUGCAUUAGCUAGAGAUAGCUAUUUCUUCGGACUUC